rnacentral:rRNA from 1 species
GGCGUGCUUAACACAUGCAAGUCGAACGUGAUUUUUGUGGAAAUUCUUUCGGGAAUGGAAAUGAAAUGAAAGUGGCGAACGGGUGAGUAACACGUGAGCAACCUACCUUACACAGGGGGAUAGCCGUUGGAAACGACGAUUAAUACCGCAUGAGACCACAGAAUCGCAUGAUAUAGGGGUCAAAGAUUUAUCGGUGUAAGAAGGGCUCGCGUCUGAUUAGCUAGUUGGAAGGGUAAAGGCCCACCAAGGCGACGAUCAGUAGCCGGUCUGAGAGGAUGAACGGCCACAUUGGAACUGAGACACGGUCCAAACUCCUACGGGAGGCAGCAGUGGGGAAUAUUGCACAAUGGGGGGAACCCUGAUGCAGCGACGCCGCGUGAGCGAAGAAGGUUUUCGAAUCGUAAAGCUCUGUCCUAUGAGAAGAUAAUGACGGUAUCAUAGGAGGAAGCCCCGGCUAAAUACGUGCCAGCAGCCGCGGUAAUACGUAUGGGGCGAGCGUUGUCCGGAAUUAUUGGGCGUAAAGGGUACGUAGGCGGUUUUUUAAGUCACGUGUGAAAAGCGUGAGGCUUACCCUCAUU